AAGUGGAAGCAGCUAUUGCUGUUUUGAAACACUCUGCUGAUGAUGACACUGUCCGUGAGAAGAUGAAGGCUACCUUCCAUUACCGUCAUUCAAUGGUCAAUGAUGAAAAGAAAGCGGCAAAUGUCUUCUCUGUCUUUCCACGGUUUCUGGACACACCAGGACUGAUAUAAAAAGAUUUCAGACUCCUGUUUGGCGAAGACACUGCCAACAAAUCUUUGGAGAAGUGGCCCACCAGUCUCAAAUCCAAGGUUAUAAAGGAAAGCCAUGAGCUCUUGGAUUUAUUGCGGAAUGCAGAGUUGGCUGCUGAAGCUAAGAAUGCUGCAUCUGCUACCACCAUCUGCACAAGGACGAAAGAGGCCGGGUAAGAUGUCUGCAUCUUAAGCAGUGGAUCACCUCAUCAGAUGUCUAAAGGUUGGAACCAGUGUACAGAGGCAUCUUGACAAAAUCAUGCAACGUACCCAGCCCUACCUCCUUGCCCAGGGAUUCAUCCAAAGCAGUAUUCACACAUUCUUCAUUGUGAUUGACAACUGUGCUAUUCCAUGUAAGGCAACAUGUUCAGUUGGAGCUCUUGAUGGCCCAUUAUGUGUUUGGUACGUAAUACAGUGCUCCCUUGACCAACUUCUUCACCUUUCUUCAAACAACUGUUUACAACAUAGAUGUUGGAGAAACAAAGGAAACACCCAGAGUUGAGCUCUAGAAUGCUCCAUUAGUGUGACAUGUACAGUAACUUUUCAUGAACAUUUUCAUGCUUAUGAAGUUACUAAAAUGAUGCAAGGUUUUGUUGUGUUUGACGUCAACCAUCUAUGUUAUCCAAAGCCCUUUGACAUACAAAUGUCAUAUGAAGCAAAUGACACUGCUCUUUUUGUUGUCCCAUAUUGCUAUCUUUGGUGAACAUUGUUUUGAAGAUGGUUAAACUGACACUGUUACAGUAAUUAUGUCACUGGAUCAUAAAGUUGAAUAAAUGUCACUAUGAACUUA